GGCCCGGGGCGGUUCGAUUCCGCCCUGGGCCACCA
rnacentral:tRNA from 1 species